UCGAACGCUGGCGGUGUGUCUAAGGCAUGCAAGUUGAGCGAACUUAAUUUCUUCGGAGAUCAAGUUAGCGGCAAACGGGAGAGUAACACAUUGGUAAUUUACCUUGCACUCGUGAAUAGCCCGGAGAAAUCCGGAGUAAUACACGAUAGGAUGGGGGGACGCGAGUCAUUCCCAUUGAAAGCUUCGGCGGUGUGAGAAAAGCCUAUGUUCUAUCAGCUAGUUGGUGAGGUAAUGGCUCACCAAGGCAAUGACGGAUACCGGGCGUGAGAGCGUGACCCGGCUCACUGGGACUGAGACACGGCCCAGACACCUACGGGUGGCUGCAGUCAAGAAUCUUCCGCAAUGCACGAAAGUGUGACGGAGCGACACCGCGUGUCGGAUGAAGGCCUUCGGGCUGUAAACGACUGUUCUGAGGGACGAAACAAUGACGGUACCUCAGCAGAAAGAGGUUGCUAACUCUGU
rnacentral:rRNA from 1 species